rnacentral:rRNA from 1 species
AUUGAACGCUGGCGGCAUGCCUUACACAUGCAAGUCGAACGGUAACAGGUCUUCGGAUGCUGACGAGUGGCGAACGGGUGAGUAAUACAUCGGAACGUGCCUAGUAGUGGGGGAUAACUACUCGAAAGAGUGGCUGAUACAGCAUGAGAUCUACGGAUGAAAGCAGGGGAUCGCAAGACCUUGUGCUACUAGAGCGGCCGAUGGCAGAUUAGGUAGUUGGUGGGAUAAAAGCUUACCAAGCCGACGAUCUGUAGCUGGUCUGAGAGGACGAUCAGCCACACUGGGACUGAGACACGGCCCAGACUCCUACGGGAGGCAGCAGUGGGGAAUUGUGGACAAUGGGCGCAAGCCUGAUCCAGCAAUGCCGCGUGCAGGAUGAAGGCCUUCGGGUUGUAAACUGCUUUUGUACGGAACGAAAAGCCCCGGGUUAAUACCCUGGGGUCAUGACGGUACCGUAAGAAUAAGCACCGGCUAACUACGUGCCAGCCACCGCCGUAA